rnacentral:lncRNA from 1 species
GGCGGAGGGGCUCGGGUGCACUAGGUGGGCGGUUGGUUAAAUAAGUAAGCGGUAGAAUGCGCGGUUCGUUCGUUUAGGUUGACUACCUAGCCGGCCAAUCCGCCUGGUCGCCCGGCCUGCCCUUCUCUGCCUUUCGUCUGUGCCUCCACAGCUGCCGCCGCCAACUCCUGCUCGGUGUCCAAAACAAAAUGGCUGCCACGCUCAGUGCGGAGUAGGACCGGAUAAAAUGGCGUCUGCGCACUUACGUCAGGCGUUUAGAUGCGCACGCAGCUAGGGGCGGGGCUGAUGCACUACGCCUGCGCGGGAGUCGGAGGAGCGCUGCGGUGGAGGAGGGGCUAUGGUGCUCCGCCCAUAGGGGGUGUGGUCUAGUGGGCGGGGCAGGUGGGAGCUUCGCUUUCCAGCUGGGCUGCACUGUACUUGGAGGGGUGGUGGGCUCUGGUCCAGGUGAAAAGCGCGCAUAUUCCCUGAAGCCCUUCUCUUGCCCCUAAGAAAGCGUGUCUAAAGGCCUGUGUGUGGGGCUCGCCUGGGUCUCUUCCGGACCGUCGAGCCCAGCUCACUGGCUUCGGCUCCUGCCUCAUCCGGUUCCCAGUUCACAGCUCACCGAUUGUGAGUGGCAUGGACCUGAGCCAGGGCCCGGGAGGCUAGUGCUGGGAGCCCUCCUCUAGCUAACCAGCGCCCGUAGCCCUCCCUGUUUUCAGCUCCACUCCUUCCCCUUCCCAACUUGGCCUGAACAUGGUCUGAUCCUUCUUUUGGGGUAAACCUUCCAUGUCUUUCUCCCAAACUACCAUCCAUGUGGAAUUUUAAAAUGUAACCCAGAGUCUUCCGCAUGCCAGGGAAGCACAGGGCCCCAGAGCAAUGUCCCCAGCCCUCCCCAGCCCUCCGUAUGGAUUUUGAUGCAGACCUGUAAAGGGAUUUUUCUUAAGGCUCAGUACACAAAGUGCUUAAAUGUUUCAGGGAUGAAUGAAUGAACAUCUUCAGCACUUUCUUCUGCCCCAUGUAACUUUGGGACCCUUUGUUUUUCCUGGCACUUAGUUUGUGUGGGUGUGUUUAAUGGUCCUGCACCCUUGCUAGACUUUAUUCUGAUGAGGUAAGGAGAGUUUUAUUUUGCUCACUGGUGUGUCCCCAGUUCCCACACAAUGUUUAGCACGUGGUAGGACCUCAGUAAAGGUUGGUUGAAGGUUGAAAGGAGCUUUUUUCCUUCUGGUUUUGUAGUUGAGAAGCUGAUGUCUCUUCCAGCUGGAACCUUGGACCCCUACAUUUGUAAGUCUUGAGCGUUCUUCAGGUAGGAAGAUGAUGUGCACAGGGAACUCUUUCCAAAAUCGGGGGAGUUGGGAGUAAUCAACUCUCAUUUCUCCACCCACUUCCAGACCCCAGAGGAGACAGACAUUGAUGGCUGCUGAGAGCGGAGCCUUUAAUGAAAGAUUAGUUGCAGGCCUGGACUGCUACUCUUGCGCCCUUGGUGUGUAUUGAAGGAGGUGGGCAAUGGUGAGAAUGUGGACAGGGAUAAGUGGGGUGAGGUGAAAGCAGGUGAAGGGGCGGGCCCGGCAGGGGGAGGGGAAGGGCGCUGCCCACUGGGCUGUCUGCUCAACUGUUCUCCCAGAAGAAGUUGUUACAGGCCACUGUGAGAGCAGCCACCAGCACCACAUACUCCUGGAAGUCCACCUCCCCGUCUCCAUUCUCAUCGAGCUCCUUCAUCACCUUGUCCACAGCAUCUGCAUCCUUCUGGGCCUGUGGAGGAAGAAGAGGGAGAGGAGGUGUGCAUCACUGAGUCGGGGCAGGAGGUGGUCGAGGAGAGCAAGGCAGACGUGAGCAAGAGGUCAGACAGCCUCUAAUCAUGGGACCUUCUGCUUUCCACCCAAGAAGGCUCAUGGGCUCCUGUUGCCUUCAGAAGAAACGCCUUAACUGGAAGAGUUAAUGAUAACGUCAAUCACCAUAAGCUAAUUGUCUACAGUGUGACAAGCACUACACUAGGAGCCUUCCAGGCACUGUCUAGUUUAAUUCUAAUACAAGCAGUAUGGGGCUCUUUUUAUUAAUUCCAUUCUGAAGAAGAAACAUGGAUGAUUUUUGUUAAGUAAAUGUGCCCAAAGUCACACAAAAAGCGGCAGGGCUGACAUUAGGUGUGGUGAUGCACACCUGUCAUCCCAGCAGCU